CUCUUUUCUGGAGCUUUUCGUUCGCGUUUUUACUUUGUCAUGAAUUGUUUGAUCUUGAAAUGUUAAACUUCUCAUGAGCAAACAGUUAACGUUGCUCUGUUCUCAGCGCUUCAUGCAGUAACACUGAUGUUUCAUCUUAUAGACAAAUCUAAGUUAUUCUUACAACCUGAUUUUUUUUCUCGUUUCAGUCUGAAUCAUCUGAUGCAGCUCCAUUGUUUACGCUUUGACAUACACCCUAAACAUGGCUCAAGAACCAGAAAGGGGGGAAAAUUGCCUUCUGUGAAAUAUGGUUAUGUUAACGUACUUUGACAUCAACCAUGAACACUGCCCAAGAAGAAGAGAAAGUGACUUCCAAGACUGGCAACACUGUGCAAAAAAGGAGCAGUACUGAAAAACUUGUAGGCCUAUUAUUUGUUUUUACUCCACAUUUGGAAAAAUGUUAAAAGUAAAUAAUAUUGCUGUAUUGUUCAAUGAUAACUGUUGAUUGCAUUUAAAAUGUUGACCUUUCAACGUUGCAAUUUUCUUCUUUUUAAAAAUAAAAGUUUUAAAAUUCA